rnacentral:lncRNA from 1 species
CAUUACAUACAGUGUCUAAUCCUGUAAACCAUAAAAAUCUCACGUGAAUAGUGCCAUUGAUAAAGCUUGCAGGUAAGGGGCUGCUUGUGUGAAUGACUGCUUGAAGGGCAGAGCCCUCUUAAUUUGGUCUAUAGGAAACUUUCCUAGCUGUGUUUUGUGUAAAAACACCUAAAAAUCAGAUCCUAAUAACACUCUUGGCAGAGCUGCACUAUGGUGUAGGAGGUCUUGCUGAUAGCUGUGUGAAAUGCAAUGAAGUGAUUAAGGGCUCUGCCAGAGCCAACACGCUGCACCCAGAGCAGAAGCAGCUCCUGAACAACAGUGGGGCUGGGCACCAGGCUGGAAACAUGAGGCAGAGACCACCCUUGAAAACCUGUGAACACAGCAAAGCACACCUUCCAGUCCCCAUCCUGGAUUCAGGGAAAAAAGGAGGAUGUUUCAAAUGAUGUCACAAGUGUGGUUGCAAACACUAUGGAAAGUCCCUGGCUAUGGAAUAUGCAGUUGGAUUUGAGGAAAGUUGAGAGGUAGUUGUUUAUCACACAGCAAUCUCAGUCCUCUAGGCUUCUCUGUGCAGAAGCAAACUCUUACGUAGGGUUAUAAUUAUGAUUAUAAAGACCUAUGAACACUCUGCACACAAGUAUUGUGGGUGUUCUAGGCUGAAAAUGUCACGGAACUAAAAUGUUAUAGUGUACAUAAAGGAGAGAUGAGCUUAUUUGAAGACAAUUGUUGAAGAAGAAAAAAACAAGAAACAUCCACUGGGAAUAUUUGUACCUGCAACUACCCCCUCAAAACUAGUAUUUACUGUGAACAGGCUUUCAGAGACUGCCUAAUGCGACAGCUUGUUGGGUUAAGUGCCAAUUAUUCAUUGCUUAGUCACUGAAAUGUCUGACAGUACAUCAGCUUCUUAGCAAUUGUACAGCUGGUUAGGAAAAAAAAAUCAAUAGAACACCUACUCAACAAAAUUUAUUGACUUUUGUCAAAAUGAAAACAUUAGGUGGAACUGUUCCUGAUUCAAACACAUACUUUCUCCUGGAUGAUUGUGCUUCGUGAAAGGGGUUGAUGUUGUUCCCCUGUCAUGUGUUGUCUCCUAGCAGAGCUGCUGGUCAAGCACACCCUGAUACCCUUCCUGCAGCAUCACUUUUGGCAGAUAAAAGGAGUGGGUGGAGAUAAUGAGUUUGAUUGCUUAUAUUUAGUUUAAAUGAAUGAGGGAGCAGUUGAGUAGGAUAAUCCAGAGGAUUCUUCUCCGAAGAGGACUCCCAGAGGCGUGAAUGUGUUUGAGUCUCCAGGUUCCCUCUCAUCCAUAGUCUGUUUCUACAUGGCCUAUUUUCCUGGCUCCUCUGCCAGGUAUGCAG